AUGUGCUUAUUUGUUUUAUCUGGUCCGUUACAGAAGCCACUGUGUUCACUGGAAGCUGACAUCCGGGACUUGGCAUCCAUUACAGGGCUAACAAAAGGCCAUAAUCCAGGCUUUUCAACUGUUCAUCCACACGGCUCGACAUCAGCUGUGCAGGAGCGUAAACCUGCGAUUACCAAGCACGGGGCGGCUCUCCCACCUGUUCCAUCAUUUCUCCACCUUAUGUGCACUCACUCUGAGGACUGCCUGACGACCUAAGGGUUUCUGAUGAAGAGCUGCACCCAAAAAGCAGACACCCACUGACAAGAACUGCCCUCCUAUUUUGUCCACCAAGAGCCUGGGAAGCUCUACUCACGUGAGUAGUUUUAUUGACUGGAAUGGGAUUGCUCAAGUUUGGAGGAACUGGGCCUCGAUGGGAGCAGUGGAACAUUCCAUGGAAAAUCUGAUGCACUCCAAGGAAUGCCAAUUCCCAUCGCUAUAAUUUCUCUCUGUAUAAAAUUCUCUCAAGUGCUCUGUUUCUCUUUAUGCAUCUGCUUCUUUGGAAAAUGACCUGCAUUUCGAAGAUCAGGUAGGAUUUGAAGAGAGCUGUAGAGGCAUUAAGUAGUAUAACGGAGUACCCCCUGCCCAAUUAAUACAAUAAUGUAUAAAAUAUGUUCUGAGAUCCUUUUUCCAGGACAGUAUUUAUUAUCCCAUUCCACAUUCUUCCAAGGAAGAAAAAAAGAAACAGGAAUGUAUUGGUCAUAUUGAAAUGAUGAAACGAAUAAAAUGUUUAUUUUAAAACGCUGGCA
rnacentral:lncRNA from 1 species